GACGGAGGAUGUACAGCGUUAUCCGGAUUCAUUGGGUUUAAAGGGAGCGUAGGUGGCCUUAUAAGUCAGUGGUGAAAUCUCUCGGCUUAACCGAGAAAUUGCCAUUGAUACUGUAGGGCUUGAGUAUAGUUGCCGUUGGCGGAAUAUGACAUGUAGUGGUGAAAUACAUAGAGAUGUCAUAGAACACCGAUUGCGAAGGCAGCUGACGAAACUAUAACUGACACUGAGGCUCGAAAGUGCGGGGAUCAAACAGG
rnacentral:rRNA from 1 species